GACGAACGCUGGCGGCGUGCUUAACACAUGCAAGUCGAACGGUAAGGCCCUUCGGGGUACACGAGUGGCGAACGGGUGAGUAACACGUGGGUGAUCUGCCCUGCACUUCGGGAUAAGCCUGGGAAACUGGGUCUAAUACCGGAUAGGACCACUGCCUGCAUGGGUGGUGGUGGAAAGCUUUUGCGGUGGGGGAUGGGCCCGCGGCCUAUCAGCUUGUUGGUGGGGUGAUGGCCUACCAAGGCGACGACGGGUAGCCGGCCUGAGAGGGUGACCGGCCGCACUGGGACUGGGUUACGGCCCAGACUCCUACGGGAGGCAGCAGUGGGGAAUAUUGCACAAUGGGCGCAAGCCUGAUGCAGCGACGCCGCGUGAGGGAUGACGGCCUUCGGGUUGUAAACCUCUUUCAGCACCGACGAAGCGCAAGUGACGGUAGGUGCAGAAGAAGGACCGGCCAACUACGUGCCAGCAGCCGCCGUAA
rnacentral:rRNA from 1 species